rnacentral:rRNA from 1 species
AAUAGAUACCCCGGUAGUCCGACGCCGUAAACGAUGAACUGCUAGGUGUUAGGGGUUUCGAUACCCUUGGUGCCGAAGUUAACACAUUAAGCAUUCCGCCUGGGGGAGUACGGUCGCAAGACUGAAACUCAAAGGAAUUGACGGGGACCCGCACAAGCAGUGGAGUAUGUGGUUUAAUUCGAAGCGACGCGAAGAACCUUACCAGGUCUUGACAUCCCUCUGACCGGUACAGAGAUGUACCUUUCCUUCGGGACAGAGGAGACAGGUGGUGCAUGGUUGUCGUCAGCUCGUGUCGUGAGAUGUUGGGUUAAGUCCCGCAACGAGCGCAACCCUUGAUCUUAGUUGCCAGCACUUCGGGGUGGGCACUCUAGGAUGACUGCCGGUGACAAACCGGAGGAAGGUGGGGAUGACGUCAAAUCAUCAUGCCCCUUAUGACCUGGGCUACACACGUACUACAAUGGCCGAUACAACGGGAAGCGAAGUCGCGAGGCGGAGCCAAUCCUAUCAAAGUCGGUCUCAGUUCGGAUUGCAGG